GGGCUAUUAGCUCAGUGGUAGAGCGCGCCCCUGAUAAUGGUUCAAGUCCAGGAUGGCCCAGCUGCGCCAGGGAAAAGAA
rnacentral:tRNA from 1 species